UCAAAUGGGAAAAAGUGCAAAGAGAGAGAGAUUCGUAAAUUACUGAGAAAUCUGUGUGGCACGCUAGUCGUUGUGAGGAGAGAAACCCUAGGCUAAGCGUAGAAAGGAAGAAACCCUAACGCCAAAUGGGAAAUUAUCAGGCAAAAGCAAACCAAAUGGGAAAAAAAACAAAGAGAGAAAGAUUAGUAAAUUACUGAGAAAUCUGUGGCACGCUAGUCGUUGUGGAGAUAAACCCUAGGCAGAUCGUGUAGCUGGAGGCACGGUGAUUCCAGCAAAAUACAGAAACCAUAGGCACAGUGAUACUAGGUGAAAAUGAUGAAAAGGUGAGAUUCUAAACAUGACUGAGAACCGAGAUUCGCAAAUUGGGAAGGAGUUUCUACUAUUGAGAGUGGCAGUGGGAUAGAAUUGGGGCAAAGGCUAAUUGUUAUGAUCGAUUUAGGGCACAGGUGGACGAUGAUGAAUUGAGGAAUCAGAGGGAUGGGAAACGCUGUGCUAAUGUUUAAAGAAAAAUGGAUGAGGGAGAUGCAUUUUGGAGGAGGGUCACCGAGGGUU
rnacentral:lncRNA from 1 species